rnacentral:rRNA from 1 species
GACGUAGGGCGCGAGCGUUGUCCGGAUUUAUUGGGCGUAAAGAGCUCGUAGGCGGCUUGUCGCGUCGACUGUGAAAUCCCGCGGCUCAACUGCGGGUCUGCAGUCGAUACGGGCAGGCUAGAGUUCGGUAGGGGAGACUGGAAUUCCUGGUGUAGCGGUGAAAUGCGCAGAUAUCAGGAAGAACACCCGUGGCGAAAGCGGCUCUCUGGAACGGUACUGACGCUGAGACGCGAAAGCGUGGGGAGCGAACAGG